rnacentral:tRNA from 1 species
GCGGGUGUAGUUUAAUGGCAGAACUUCAAAUUUCUUCCAAGCUGACUAUGAGGGUUCGAUUCCCUUCACCCGCUCCA